GCUGGCGGCAGGCCUAACACAUGCAAGUCGAGACGGCCCUUUCGGGGGUAGCGGCGGACGGGUGAGUAACGCGUGGGAACGUACCCUUUUCUACGGAAUAGCCUCGGGAAACUGAGAGUAAUACCGUAUACGCCCUUUGGGGGAAAGAUUUAUCGGAGAAGGAUCGGCCCGCGUUGGAUUAGGUAGUUGGUGGGGUAAUGGCCUACCAAGCCGACGAUCCAUAGCUGGUUUGAGAGGAUGAUCAGCCACACUGGGACUGAGACACGGCCCAGACUCCUACGGGAGGCAGCAGUGGGGAAUCUUAGACAAUGGGGGAAACCCUGAUCUAGCCAUGCCGCGUGAGCGAUGAAGGCCUUAGGGUUGUAAAGCUCUUUCACCGGGGAAGAUAAUGACGGUACCCGGAGAAGAAGCCCCGGCUAACUCCGUGCCAGCAGCCGCGGUAAUACGGAGGGGGCUAGCGUUGUUCGGAAUUACUGGGCGUAAAGCGCACGUAGGCGGAUUGGAAAGUUGGGGGUGAAAUCCCGGGGCUCAACCUCGGAACUGCCUCCAAAACUCCCAGUCUUGAGGUCGAGAGAGGUGAGUGGAAUUCCGAGUGUAGAGGUGAAAUUCGUAGAUAUUCGGAGGAACACCA
rnacentral:rRNA from 1 species